AGAUUCCGUGCAACUAAGGAGAAUUCAGGCAGUUGAUUCACGGUGAGGUACAGGUUCAGCGAUUAUCUAUAAAACACUGCUUAUCUAUAAAAUAGCUUUUUAGGACUCUGGAAGCAUUGUGACUUUUUUCAGUGUCAGUCUCUGAUAUUAUUACUAUGCUGUUUAACCCGGACGUUCUUUUGAAUUGCGAGAUCAUUCAUUUAUCAGAGAUGUAAAAGUAGUGCCUGUGCCAUGAUUGGCACCGCCUGGUGGUCAGGUCUCUUCUUCGGAACUGGAGGGUCUCAGGCUCAAGAACCGAUUCCACCAAAGAACCAUUCUAUAAGCGGGUCUGGAGCACCUUAAAUCCGUCGGUGCCAAACGUCCUCCCGCUGGUGUGGUGUGGAAGUUUGGAGAGGGGGUGCCACCUCAGGUGUCGUCCUCGUCAUCUCACUGCAGUUCAAAAGUAC